rnacentral:rRNA from 1 species
CCUAACACAUGCAAGUCGAACGGUAACAGGAAGAAGCUUGCUUCUUUGCUGACGAGUGGCGGACGGGUGAGUAAUGUCUGGGAAACUGCCUGAUGGAGGGGGAUAACUACUGGAAACGGUAGCUAAUACCGCAUAACGUCGCAAGACCAAAGAGGGGGACCUUCGGGCCUCUUGCCAUCGGAUGUGCCCAGAUGGGAUUAGCUAGUAGGUGGGGUAACGGCUCACCUAGGCGACGAUCCCUAGCUGGUCUGAGAGGAUGACCAGCCACACUGGAACUGAGACACGGUCCAGACUCCUACGGGAGGCAGCAGUGG